rnacentral:rRNA from 1 species
AAAGAAACCAACAGGGAUUGCCUCAGUAACGGCGAGUGAAGCGGCAAGAGCUCAAAUUUGAAAUCUGGCUCCUUCGGGGCCCGAGUUGUAAUUUGCAGAGGAUGCUUCGGGGGUGGUCGCCGCCUAAGUCCCCUGGAACGGGGCGUCAUAGAGGGUGAGAAUCCCGUCUUUGGUGGGCCGGCCGCUCCCGGGUGAAGCUCCUUCGACGAGUCGAGUUGUUUGGGAAUGCAGCUCUAAGCGGGUGGUAAAUUUCAUCUAAAGCUAAAUAUUGGCUGGAGACCGAUAGCGCACAAGUAGAGUGAUCGAAAGACGAAAAGUACUUUGAAAAGAGAGUUAAACAGCACGUGAAAUUGUUGAAAGGGAAGCGCUGGCCGCCAGAUUCGGCCUCAGGGGCUCACCGGGCAUGCUUUGCCCGGGCACUCCCCUGGAGCCGGGUCAGCAUCGGUUUGGGCGGUUGGUCAAAGGCCCCCGGAAUGUGUCGCCUCUCGGGGCGUCUUAUAGCCGGGGGUGCAAUGCAGCCUGCCUGGAUCGAGGAACGCGCUUCGGCACGGAUGCUGGCAU